UACGAAGGGGGCUAGCGUUGCUCGGAAUCACUGGGCGUAAAGGGCGCGUAGGCGGAUCUUUAAGUCGGGGGUGAAAGCCCAGGGCUCAACCCUGGAACUUGCCUUCGAUACUGAAGAUCUCGAGACCGGAAGAGGUAAGUGGAACUGCGAGUGUAGAGGUGAAAUUCGUAGAUAUUCGCAAGAACACCAGUGGCGAAGGCGGCUCACUGGCCCGAUACUGACGCUGAGGUGCGAAAGCGUGGGGAGCAAACAGG
rnacentral:rRNA from 1 species